rnacentral:rRNA from 1 species
CCAAAAAGGAAUUGCUCUAGUACGGCGAGUGAUGCGCAUAGCUCAAUUUGAAUCUGGCGUCUUCGACGUCCGAGUUGUAUUUGUAGAGGAUGCUUCUGAGUAACCACUUACCUAAGUUCCUUGGAACAGGACGUCAUAAGGGUGAGAAUCCCGUAUGCGGUCGGAAAGGUGCUCUACACGUAGCUCCUUCNACGAGUCNAGUUGUUUGGGAAUGCAGCUCUAAAUGGGAGGUAAAUUUCUUCUAAAGCUAAAUAUUGGCCAGAGACCGAUAGCGCACAAGUAGAGUGAUCGAAAGAUGAAAAGCACUUUGGAAAGAGAGUUAAAAAGCACGUGAAAUUGUUAAAAGGGAAGGGAUUGCAACCAGACUUGCUCGCGGUGUUCCGCCGGUCUUCUGACCGGUCUACUCCGCGCGUUGCAGGCCAGCAUCGUCUGGUGCCGCUGGAUAAGACUUGAGGAAUGUAGCUCCCUCGGGAGUGUUAUAGCCUCUUGUGAUGCAGCGAGCGCCGGGCGAGGUCCGCGCUUCGGCUAGGAUGCUGGCGUAAUGGUCGUAAUGCGCCCGUCUGAAACACGGGACCAAAAACUAAGG